UACAGAGGGGGCAAGCGUUGUUCGGAAUUACUGGGCGUAAAGGGCGCGUAGGCGGCCUUCUAAGUCGAACGUGAAAUCCCCGGGCUCAACCCGGGAACUGCGUCCGAUACUGGAAGGCUUGAAUCCGGGAGAGGGAUGCGGAAUUCCAGGUGUAGCGGUGAAAUGCGUAGAUAUCUGGAGGAAUACCGGUGGCGAAGGCGGCAUCCUGGACCAUUACUGACGCUGAGGCGCGAAGCUAGGGGAGCAAACGGG
rnacentral:rRNA from 1 species